GACGUAGGAAGCAAGCGUUGUCCGGAAUUACUGGGCGUAAAGAGCUCGUAGGCGGGAUCGUAAAGUCUUAGAGUAAAUCUCACGGCUCAACCGUGGGGCCUUCUGAGAUACUGCGAUUCUUGAGGAUGUCAGAGGAAAGUGGAAUUCCCGGUGUAGCGGUGAAAUGCGCAGAUAUCAGGAGGAACACCGAUGGCGAAGGCAGGUCUCUGGCAUUAACUGACGCUGAGGAGCGAAGCAUGGAGCGAACAGG
rnacentral:rRNA from 1 species